rnacentral:rRNA from 1 species
GAUGAACGCUGGCGGCGUGCCUAAUACAUGCAAGUCGAGCGAACAGACGAGGAGCUUGCUCCUCUGACGUUAGCGGCGGACGGGUGAGUAACACGUGGAUAACCUACCUAUAAGACUGGGAUAACUUCGGGAAACCGGAGCUAAUACCGGAUAAUAUAUUGAACCGCAUGGUUCAAUAGUGAAAGACGGUUUUGCUGUCACUUAUAGAUGGAUCCGCGCCGCAUUAGCUAGUUGGUAAGGUAACGGCUUACCAAGGCAACGAUGCGUAGCCGACCUGAGAGGGUGAUUGGCCACACUGGAACAGAGACACGGUCCAGACUCCUGCGGGAGGCAGCAGUAGGGAAUCUUCCGCAAAGGGCGAAAGCCUGACGGAGCAACGCCGCGUGAGUGAUGAAGGUCUUCGGAUCGUAAAACUCUGUUAUUAGGGAAGAACAAAUGUGUAAGUAACUAUGCACGUCUUGACGGUACCUAAUCAGAAAGCCACGGCUAACUACGUG